rnacentral:lncRNA from 1 species
AAACACAGAGGCCAACCGUCAAGCUUACCGAACUCUUCUCGUAACUGCACCCGAACUCGGCAAGUACAUCUCCGGUGCUAUCCUCUUUGAAGAGACUCUCUACCAAUCCACUGUCGAUGGCGAGAAGAUAGUCGACGUUUUGGUCAAGCAAGGCAUUGUCCCUGGAAUCAAAGUUGACAAGGUAAGACCAUUGUCCCUAUAUAAUCCUAAUAGAAAUUCAAAAAGGCAUUGGAAAUUUUGAGAGUUUGAAUUCAACAAAAAGGCUUGGCUCCGGAAAAGAAAAAAAUUAACCUGUUUUCGUAGUGAACUAGCUUGUUUGUUUUUAUUAACAUAGAUUCCUCUGUUUUUCCAACGUCUGUAAAAAAAUAAACAGGGUUUGGUGCCACUUCCUGGUUCCAACAACGAAUCGUGGUGCCAAGGUCUCGACGGCCUUGCUUCUCGUGCUGCUGCUUACUACCAACAAGGCGCUCGUUUCGCCAAAUGGUACAAAUCAUCAUUCAUUUCAGCUUCAUUUAAUAAAAAAACCCGUCUUAUUUCAAAUUUUUUUUAUAAACUAAAUAGUUAUCAAGCGUUUUCGAAAUCCCAAAACUUGAAAACACUGACAAUGUUAGUUUCCAGGCGCACAGUGGUGAGCAUUCCCAACGGCCCAUCAGCCCUUGCCGUCAAGGAAGCCGCCUGGGGUCUUGCUCGCUACGCUGCAGUCUCACAGGUCUCAACAAAUCAAACUUUUAAUAAUACCCCAUUUUGAUUUAUUAUAACUUGAUUUUGAAUUUGCAAUUUGCAGGACAAUGGGUUGGUUCCGAUCGUCGAGCCGGAGAUCUUGCUUGACGGUGAGCACGGGAUCGACAGAACCUUUGAGGUAGCACAGAAAGUUUGGGCAGAGGUUUUCUUCUACCUUGCAGAGAACAAUGUUUUGUUUGAAGGAAUUCUUUUGAAACCAAGCAUGGUUACUCCUGGAGCUGAGAGCAAAGACAAAGCAAGCCCUCAGACAGUUGCUGAGUACACUCUUUCUCUUCUCAAAAGAAGAAUCCCUCCUGCUGUUCCUGGAAUCAUGGCAAGUCAUUACAACAUAUCUUAAACUUUGAACGCUUAUUACCCUUAGAUGAUAUAAAUUAAAUUUAUCUUCCUCUAUUAACUCAAACUUUUAGAAUAAUUGGUGAUUUAAGAUGGUAUAAAAGGAUGUCAUCUAGAAAGUCAUGCGUAUUAGUUAUUAGCUCAACGUUUUAGGUAUAACGGUGAUUUGAGAAUUAAGUUGAUGAAUUGAAUGUGGGUUGUUUUUCUGUGGUUGUUGUGGAACAGUUUUUAUCAGGUGGGCAAUCUGAGAUAGAGGCUACAUUGAACUUGAAUGCGAUGAACCAAGCACCAAACCCAUGGCAUGUGUCCUUCUCAUAUGCUAGAGCUCUCCAAAACACUUGCUUGAAGACAUGGGGUGGACUACCAGAAAAUGUGAAGAUCGCACAGGAUGCUCUGAUUCAACGAGCCAAGUCGAACUCCCUCGCCCAGCUUGGGAAGUACACCGGUGAGGGUGAGUCCGAAGAAGCCAACCAGGAUAUGUACGUCAAGGGCUACACAUACUAAGCUUUUCUAUAGAUCAAGAAGAUGAAAGAAGAAGAAGAAGAAGAUGAUGAUGGUUGAAGACUAAUUGCUAUGUUUAUUGUGUUUAUGAUGAUGAUGCUUUAUAGCAAUUUAAAAAGAACAAAAAAAAAAAAAACUAUUUUUGUGUAUUCUUAGCAGCUUAAUGAACAUUUUGGUGAUGAUUUUUAGUUUAGUUUGUCUUCUUCUCAAAUCCUAUGUAAGAUGCUUGAAUUCGCAUUAAUCAUGAGCAUAUAUAAUAAGGCUUUUCCUUCGGUCUCAAGAUUU